AGCUCCAAUAGCGUAUAUUUAAGUUGUUGCAGUUAAAAAGCUCGUAGUUGGAUUUCGGGCGGGGCCUGCCGGUCCGCCUUUGGUGUGCACUGGCAGGGUCCGCCUUGCUGUCGGGGACGGGUUCCUGGGCUUUACUGUCUGGGACUCGGAGUCGACGUGGUUACUUUGAGUAAAUUAGAGUGUUCAAAGCAGGCUUACGCUCUGAAUACAUUAGCAUGGAAUAACGCGAUAGGACUCUGGCCUAUCUUGUUGGUCUGUGGGACCGGAGUAAUGAUUAAGAGGGACAGUCGGGGGCAUUCGUAUUUCAUUGUCAGAGGUGAAAUUCUUGGAUUUAUGAAAGACGAACUACUGCGAAAGCAUUUGCCAAGGAUGUUUUCAUUA
rnacentral:rRNA from 2 species